CCUACGGGAGGCAGCAGUGGGGAAUUUUGGACAAUGGGCGCAAGCCUGAUCCAGCAAUGCCGCGUGCAGGAUGAAGGCCUUCGGGUUGUAAACUGCUUUUGUACGGAACGAAACGGUCUGCUUUAAUACAGUGGGCUAAUGACGGUACCGUAAGAAUAAGCACCGGCUAACUACGUGCCAGCAGCCGCGGUAAUACGUAGGGUGCGAGCGUUAAUCGGAAUUACUGGGCGUAAAGCGUGCGCAGGCGGUUAUAUAAGACAGAUGUGAAAUCCCCGGGCUCAACCUGGGACCUGCAUUUGUGACUGUAUAGCUAGAGUACGGUAGAGGGGGAUGGAAUUCCGCGUGUAGCAGUGAAAUGCGUAGAUAUGCGGAGGAACACCGAUGGCGAAGGGCAAUCCCCUGGACCUGUACUGACGCUCAUGCACGAAAGCGUGGGGAGCAAACAGGAUUAGAUACCCUGGUAGUCCACGCCCUAAACGAUGUCAACUGGUUGUUGGGUCUUCACUGACUCAGUAACGAAGCUAACGCGUGAAGUUGACCGCCUGGGGAUACGGCCGCAAGGUUGAAACUCAAAGGAAUUGACGGCNGAGACGAGACGACGACGACGACGAGGGAGGAGG
rnacentral:rRNA from 1 species